AGUGAACGCUGGCGGUAGGCCUAACACAUGCAAGUCGAACGGCAGCACAGUAAGAGCUUGCUCUUACGGGUGGCGAGUGGCGGACGGGUGAGGAAUACAUCGGAAUCUACUUUUUCGUGGGGGAUAACGUAGGGAAACUUACGCUAAUACCGCAUACGACCUACGGGUGAAAGCAGGGGAUCUUCGGACCUUGCGCGAUUGAAUGAGCCGAUGUCGGAUUAGCUAGUUGGCGGGGUAAAGGCCCACCAAGGCGACGAUCCGUAGCUGGUCUGAGAGGAUGAUCAGCCACCCUGGGACUGAGACACGGACCAGACUCCUACGGGAGGCAGCAGUGGGGAAUAUUGGACAAUGGGCGCAAGCCUGAUCCAGCCAUACCGCGUGGGUGAAGAAGGCCUUCGGGUUGUAAAGCCCUUUUGUUGGGAAAGAAAAGCAGCAGGUUAAUACCCCGCUGUUCUGACGGUACCCAAAGAAUAAGCACCGGCUAACUUCGUG
rnacentral:rRNA from 1 species